rnacentral:rRNA from 1 species
GAUGAACGCUGGCGGCGUGCCUAAUACAUGCAAGUCGAGCGAACAGACGAGGAGCUUGCUCCUCUGACGUUAGCGGCGGACGGGUGAGUAACACGUGGAUAACCUACCUAUAAGACUGGGAUAACUUCGGGAAACCGGAGCUAAUACCGGAUAAUAUAUUGAACCGCAUGGUUCAAUAGUGAAAGACGGUUUUGCUGUCACUUAUAGAUGGAUCCGCGCCGCAUUAGCUAGUUGAUAAGGUAACGGCUUACCAAGGCAACGAUGCGUAGCCGACCUGAGAGGGUGAUCGGCCACACUGGAACUGAGACACGGUCCAGACUCCUACGGGAGGCAGCAGUAGGGAAUCUUCCGCAAAGGGCGAAAGCCUGACGGAGCAACGCCGCGUGAGUGAUGAAGGUCUUCGGAUCGUAAAACUCUGUUAUUAGGGAAGAACAAAUGUGUAAGUAACUAUGCACGUCUUGACGGUACCUAAUCAGAAAGCCACGGCUAACUACGUG